rnacentral:rRNA from 1 species
CAGGAUGAACGCUGGCGGCGUGCUUAACACAUGCAAGUCGAACGAUGAUGCCCACUUGUGGGUGGAUUAGUGGCGAACGGGUGAGUAACACGUGAGUAACCUGCCCUUGACUCUGGGAUAAGCCUGGGAAACUGGGUCUAAUACCGGAUAUGACCUUCCAUCGCAUGGUGGUUGGUGGAAAGCUUUUGUGGUUUUGGAUGGACUCGCGGCCUAUCAGCUUGUUGGUGGGGUAAUGGCCUACCAAGGCGACGACGGGUAGCCGGCCUGAGAGGGUGACCGGCCACACUGGGACUGAGACACGGCCCAGACUCCUACGGGAGGCAGCAGUGGGGAAUAUUGCACAAUGGGCGCAAGCCUGAUGCAGCGACGCCGCGUGAGGGAUGACGGCCUUCGGGUUGUAAACCUCUUUCAGUAGGGAAGAAGCGAAAGUGACGGUACCUGCAGAAGAAGCGCCGGCUAACUACGUGCCAGCAGCCGCGGUAAUACGUAGGGCGCAAGCGUUAUCCGGAAUUAUUGGGCGUAAAGAGCUCGUAGGCGGUUUGUCGCGUCUGCCGUGAAAGUCCGGGGCUCAACUCCGGAUCUGCGGUGGGUACGGGCAGACUAGAGUGAUGUAGGGGAGACUGGAAUUCCUGGUGUAGCGGUGAAAUGCGCAGAUAU